UAGGGAAUCUUCGGCAAUGGACGAAAGUCUGACCGAGCAACGCCGCGUGAGUGAAGAAGGUUUUCGGAUCGUAAAACUCUGUUGUUAGAGAAGAACAAGGACGUUAGUAACUGAACGUCCCCUGACGGUAUCUAACCAGAAAGCCACGGCUAACUACGUGCCAGCAGCCGCGGUAAUACGUAGGUGGCAAGCGUUGUCCGGAUUUAUUGGGCGUAAAGCGAGCGCAGGCGGUUUCUUAAGUCUGAUGUGAAAGCCCCCGGCUCAACCGGGGAGGGUCAUUGGAAACUGGGAGACUUGGGUGCAGAAGAGGAGAGUGGAAGUCCAGGUGGAGCGGUGAAAUGCGUAGAUAUAUGGAGGAACACCAGUGGAGAAGGCGGCUCUCUGGUCUGUAACUGACGCUGAGGCUCGAAAGCGUGGGGAGCAAACAGG
rnacentral:rRNA from 1 species